rnacentral:rRNA from 1 species
UCAAGCUAAAAAGAGCGCAAGGGGAAUGCCUUGGCAUCAGGAGCCGAAGAAGGACGUGACAAGCUGCGAUAAGCUGCGGUGAGGAGCAAAUAUCCUUUGACCCGCAGAUCUCCGAAUGGGGCAACCCGGCUGGACAAUAUCCAGUCAUCCUGCAUUGAAUCAAAUAGGUGUAGGAAGGGAACCGUCUGAACUGAAACAUCUAAGUAGGACGAGGAAGAGACAUCAACCGAGAUUCCGCAAGUAGUGGCGAGCGAACGCGGAAGAGGCCAAACCGGAGGAUUCAUUCUCCGGGGUUGCGGACAGUCAUUUAGCAGAAGAUAUCUAACCGAAGGGUCUGGGAAGGCCCACCACAGAGGGUGAGAGUCCCGUAGGUGAAAGAGAAGGCUGUGAGACUGAAUCCAGAGUACCGCAGGACACGUGAAACCCUGCGGGAAACAGGGGGGACCACCCUCCAAGCCUAAAUACUACCUGAUGACCGAUAGAGGAGCAGUACCGUGAGGGAAAGGUGAAAAGGACCCCGGGAGGGGAGUGAAAGAGAACCUGAAACCUUGUGCUUACAAGCAGUCAGAGCGCGUUAAAGCGUGAUGGCGUACUUUUUGUAGAACGGUCCGGCGAGUUAUAGUAACGAGCAAGCUUAAGGUAUUCAGUACCGGAGGCGCAGCGAAAGCGAGUCUGAAAAGGGCGCAUGAAGUUCGUUGCCAUAGACCCGAAACCGGGUGACCUACGCAUGAGCAGGUUGAAGUGGGGGUGAAACCCCAUGGAGGACCGAACCGACCCCCGUUGCAAUGGUGGCGGAUGACUUGUGUGUAGCGGUGAAAUUCCAAUCGAACUCGGAGAUAGCUGGUUCUCCCCGAAAUAGCUUUAGGGCUAGCGUUGUGUUAGAUUACCGGAGGUAAAGCACUGAAUGGUUUAGGGGCUGAUAAAGUUACCGACGCCUAUCAAACUCUGAAUGCCGGAUAAUUGAUGCACAGCAGUCAGACAGUGUGAGAUAAGUUUCAUUGUCAAAAGGGAAACAGCCCAGACCUACAGCUAAGGUCCCAAAUGUAUGCUAAGUGGAAAACGAUGUGGAAUUGCGAAAACAACCAGGAUGUUGGCUCAGAAGCAGCCACACAUUAAAAGAGUGCGUAAUAGCUCACUGGUCGAGUGACUCUGCGCGGAAAAUGUAACGGGGCUAAGCAUACAACCGAAGCUUAGGAUUGUCAAAAGACAGUGGUAGGGGAGCGUUCUGUACGGGGCGAAGUCGCAGCGGGAGCAGCGGUGGACUGUACAGAAGUGAGAAUGCCGGAAUGAGUAGCGAGAAUUAUGUGGGAAUCAUAAUGGCCGAAAAUCUAAGGUUUCUUGGGGAAGGUUCGUCCGCCCAAGGUAAGUCGGGAGCUAAGCUCAGGCCGAGAGGCGUAGGCGAUGCACAUACGGUAGAAAUUCCGUAACCACCGAACUUUAAGCAUGAGGGACACUUUGAGAUAGCGGGACCCGGGCGUUGGUAGACCCGGGCGAAAGGGACCGAAAUAUAGUAGGGAAGUCCGCGAUGCUCGGAGGCGAGAAAAGCUCAUGUGUAUACUAAGGUGCCCGUACCGCAAACCGACACAGGUAGAUGAGGAGAGAAUCCUAAGGCCAACGGGAGAAGGGUUGUUAAGGAACUCGGCAAGAUGACCCCGUAACUUCGGAAGAAGGGGAGCCUCGAAAGAGGCCGCAGUGAAUAGGCCCAAGCAACUGUUUACCAAAAACACAGGUUUAUGCUAAAUCGAAAGAUGACGUAUAUGAGCUGACGCCUGCCCGGUGCCGGAAGGUUAAGAGGAGAUGUGAGCCGCAAGGUGAAGCAUUGAAUUGAAGCCCCGGUAAACGGCGGCCGUAACUAUAACGGUCCUAAGGUAGCGAAAUUCCUUGUCAGGUAA